UUAUUUUAUUGUUAUUAUAUUAAACUAAUUUAAUAAAAGAAAUAAAAGAUAGAAAAAGAGAAAUGGAAACAGAACAGGCAAACGAAAACAGGGGAGAAAGGAAAGAAAAAGAAAAAGGGAAGGAAAGAAAGAAAAUUUGGGGUUUCAAGGUUUCAAGCUCAAUUGCUAAUGUCGUGCAAGAGUCAUUGCCGAGAAAGGAAAGGGGAAGGUGAUCAAGGAGUGACUCGAGAAAAUUUACGGUUAG